rnacentral:rRNA from 1 species
AUUGAACGCUGGCGGCAGGCCUAACACAUGCAAGUCGAGCGGAUGAAGGGAGCUUGCUCCUGGAUUCAGCGGCGGACGGGUGAGUAAUGCCUAGGAAUCUGCCUGGUAGCGGGGGAUAACGUCCGGAAACGGGCGCUAAUACCGCAUACGUCCUGAGGGAGAAAGUGGGGGAUCUUCGGACCUCACGCUAUCAGAUGAGCCUAGGUCGGAUUAGCUAGUUGGUGGGGUAAAGGCCUACCAAGGCGACGAUCCGUAACUGGUCUGAGAGGAUGAUCAGUCACACUGGAACUGAGACACGGUCCAGACUCCUACGGGAGGCAGCAGUGGGGAAUAUUGGACAAUGGGCGAAAGCCUGAUCCAGCCAUGCCGCGUGUGUGAAGAAGGUCUUCGGAUUGUAAAGCACUUUAAGUUGGGAGGAAGGGCAGUAAGUUAACACCUUGCUGUUUUGACGUUACCAACAGAAUAAGCACCGGCUAACUUCGUG